UCUGUUUCCCGCCAUUUUGAACUGCGAGGUGUUUGGCGGGACUGUUGGCAUAAUCAAAGGCGCAAAGUGGCAUAUUUACAUGGAUUUGUGUCACAAUUCUGUAGCAGUAUACAUCUGAAAUGCAUAUAAAACAGCUUAUAAUACAAGGUUUCCGGAGCUACAAAGAGCAAACCUGUGUGGAGCCAUUCAGCCCCCGUCAUAAUGUGAUAGUUGGCCGAAAUGGAUCAGGAAAAAGCAAUUUCUUUUACGCCAUCCAAUUCGUGCUGAGCGAUGAGUUCUCCCAUCUGCGCCCCGAGCAGCGGCAAGCACUCCUGCAUGAGGGAACUGGACCACGUGUGCUCAAUGCCUUUGUUGAAAUCAUCUUCGACAACAGUGACAACCGCCUGCCAGUUGACAAGGAAGAGGUGUCACUAAGGCGUGUGAUUGGCUCCAAGAAAGACCAGUAUUUCCUGAACAAGAAGAUGGUUACAAGGACGGAUGUCAUGAACCUUUUGGAGAGCGCCGGUUUCUCGAGGAGCAAUCCCUACUACAUAGUAAAGCAGGGCAAGAUCAACCAGAUGGCCACAGCGCCAGAUUCACAACGGCUGAAGCUGCUGCGAGAGGUGGCAGGCACACGGGUGUACGAUGAGCGGCGCGAAGAGAGUAAGGUGCUGCUGCGUGACACUGAGGGCAAGCGCUCCAAGAUUGAGGAUCUGCUCAAGUACAUUGAGGAUCGGCUGCAGACGCUUGAGGAGGAGAAGGAGGAGCUCAAGGAGUACCAGAAAUGGGACAAGAUGCGCAGGUCUCUGGAGUACACCAUUUAUGACCAUGAACUGAAGGAUACCAAAAAGAAGCUGGAAGAACUGGAAACACGGCGAGAGUCCAGCAGUUCAGUGGCUGAGAAAUUGCGUGAGAACCUGCAGAAUGCGGCCGAAAAAAUAAAGAAGCUGAGCAAGGAGCUGCGCGAGGUGAAGAGUCGUGCGCAGGCCCAGCGGGAGGAGCGGGAGGCCCUGUCGCAGGAGCAGUCAUCGGCACUCAAGGAGAAGACCCGCCUUGAGCUGACCAUAAAGGACCUGCGUGAUGAGGUUGAGGGGGACGACUCAUCACGCAAGCGUGCUGAGCGGGAGCUAGCCCGCCUACAGGAGACAGUGGCCCAGAAGAUGGCCCUGCUGGACGGCAUUCGUCCCCAGUACGAGGCACAGAAAAAGCGUGAGGAGGAAUGCACUCGCGAGCUGAGCCUGAAGGAACAGAAGCGCACCGAGCUGUAUGCCAAGCAAGGCCGUGGCAGCCAGUUUACAUCCAAGGCUGAACGGGACAAGUGGAUCCAGAAGGAACUCAAGUCUCUGCAGAAAGCCAUUCGGGACAAGCGGGACCAGAUAGACAAGCUCCAAGAGGACACACAACGAGAUGCAAAAAACAAGGUGGUCUUGGAAAGGAAAAUUGAAGAGCUUACCCGAGAGCUGGAAAAUCAUCGUGUGAGCAUCGACAGUCAAAACAAAAGUUUCUAUGAGAUGAAAAAACGGAAAGACACGCUUCAAGGCGAGAGAAAUGAACUCUGGAGACAUGAGAAUGCCUUGCAGCAGAACCUGGCAACGCUGAAAGAGGAGCUGUCCAAAAAGGACCAGGGCCUGCGUUCGAUGACUGGCAAGGCAACCUUGAAUGGCCGAGACAGUGUACGAAAAGUUCUGCAAACUUUUCGGGAGAAAGGUGGCAGUUAUGAGCACAUAGCCAACAGCUACUAUGGAAUGCUAAUCGAAAACUUUGAUUGUGAGAAGACCAUCUAUACUGCCGUGGAAGUGACUUCUGGAAACAAGUUGUUUUACCACAUAGUGGAGAGUGAUCGCAUCGGCACAAAGAUACUGCAGGAGAUGAAUCGUCAGCAGCUGCCAGGCGAAGUCACCUUCAUGCCUCUGAACCGGCUCAUGUACAAGGAUGUUGACUACCCGAAUAGCAAUGAUGCCAUUCCUAUGAUCAGCAAACUCAACUUUGACCCAAAGUUUGAGAGUGCUAUGAAAUACAUAUAUGGCAAGACUCUAAUAUGCCGCAACCUGGAAGUGGCCACUCAAAUUGCACGCACAUCAAACCUGGAUUGCAUCACUUUGGACGGGGACCAAGUGUCGCACAAGGGUGCCCUAACGGGAGGCUACUUUGACACUCGACGGUCACGGCUGGAUCUGCACAAGGCACACAUGCAGCUCAUGAAGGAGAUUACUGAAGUGGAGAAGCAGCUUGCGGAGCACAAGCAGAAACUGGCUGAUACUGAAAGCCAGAUCAACCAAGUGGUCAGUGACAUGCAGAAAGCUGAGACAAAGAACAGCAAAAACAAGGAUGUGUUUGACAAACUGAAGGCAGACAUUCGUCUCAUGAAAGAAGAACUCACAGCUCUGGAACGCUCUAAACAGCCAAAGGAGCGCAGCCUGGCUAGCCUCGACUCGAGCCUGAAGUCAAUGGAGUCAACCGAGCAGUCCCUGCGUUCAGAGCUGCAGCAAGACCUCCUGACACAGCUUUCAGUUGCUGACCAGCAGGAGGUAGACCGGCUCAACGAUGAAAUUCGCCGUCUCACCCAGGAAAACAAGGAGGCCUUCAGUGAGCGCAUGCGGCUUGAGGCAGAGAAAAACAAGCUGGAGAACCUGCUCAACAACAAUUUAUAUCGGAGGAAAGAAGAAUUGGAAGCCGCAUUGCAGGAAAUUUCAGUCGAAGACAGGCGGCGCAAACUGGAGAACAGCCAAGCAGAGUUGGCCAGUGUGAAUGCACGCAUCAGUGAUGUCAACACUAACUUAAAAGCACUGGAAAAGCAGGUUGAAGCAAAUACCAAGGAACAGAAGGACCUCCAGUCACAGCUAGAGCACUGGAAGAGCCAAGAGCGUGACUGGCAAGAGCGGAUCAAUGAUGAUGCCAAAGACCUUGAGAAAAUGACGAGCCGCCAGUCUGUUCUGUUGAAGAAGAAAGAAGAGUGCAUGCGUAAGAUUCGAGAACUCGGUUCAUUGCCUGCAGAUGCAUUUGAGAAGUAUCAGAAUCUAAGCCUAAAACAGUUGUUCAAGAAGCUUGAGCAAUGUAAUCAUGAGCUCAAGAAAUACAGCCACGUCAACAAGAAAGCCUUGGACCAGUUCAUCAAUUUUUCGGACCAGAAGGAAAAGCUGGCAAAGCGCAAGGAAGAGCUUGACCGUGGACACAGUAUGUGUGCACGUGGAACAUAGCACUCGCUGGUGUCCAACUCUGGGUGACAGAGGAGGUUACGUUAGGAGAGGGACGUGAAAGCUUCACUUCUGCCAAUCUCAGUGCCUUAGACCUGCAUCUUUUUCCCCGGUUUUCUGAGUGCUGCACAGGCACUGUGAAGAGAUACUUAUUGGCACAGCAUCAAACGGCAACUUUAGUUGUAGACUUCAAAUUCACAUUUUUAUAUAUAUAUAUAUUUGUUUUUUGGACUGCCCGAUUAUUCAUAAAUUUUUUAUGACUAUUUCUUUGAAAGAAAAACCUGUUGGUGACUACUUAUUUGAAAGUAAGGUCAAACUUCUGUCAUUAAAAUCUUGGUGAUACAAUCAUACCUAAUACGAAUUUCAGGAUGAUAAUGAAUUUUUCAAAAGUCCCGCACAAGUCCAUUAGCUUUCAGUAUGCUAAUAAUAAUGUUGUAAACUGCUUUUCGCGCCAUAGCUCAUGAUACAAACAAUCGAUCCACAGCACACCGUUUACAUUCCUGUAGCCAGAAAUGCAAGGGACUCCCUCAAAAGAGAGAGAGAGGGCUUUCACUUUGUGCAGUACCAUACAACUUAGUGGUCGUUUUCAAACACCUUGCAACUUAUUCAGGAGUCGGCAAUCACACACAACCGAGUCUUGCUGUCAACAACUUGCAGAGUGUUGCUGUGUCAGCACCACCCAAAGCCUGAUUUUCUCCUUGAUUUCGAAGACAACAGACUAAAAAUGGGAAAUUUUCUCAUAUUUUGUUUUGUAUUUCUUUGAAUUAUUCUGACACGAGGUAAAGGAAUGUCCUAGAAUUGCGAGGGGAAAAAUAUGACAUUUUGAGCAAGUUGGCCCCUCUUAUCUUCUCAAUUUUUUAAAAUGUUUUUAGGUGAUAUGAAUUUCGGGUAAUACCAAUUUUUGUGCCAUCCUGGGAGACUUGUAUCAUCGAAAUUCUGCUGUAGCAAAAUUUCAGUAUGAUGAAGUAUAAAGUGUCGAUUUUACCAACUUGGUUUUAUUGAGGUUUAACUGAGCCUCAUUGUUCCACUACCUGAAGAGUGCACAUUACAGUAAAUUGUGAUAUGCUUUACCCAGUAUAACCAAGUUGUUUAAAUCUGCCAGAUAAUUACAUGGAGCAUAUUUUUUGCAAUAAUGAAAUUGGAGCAUGUUAGUGCAUAAAGUAGUGUGACUAGUGGGAAUCCUAAGCCAGCACCUUUUUUAAGUGUCCAUCCCCUAAAUAUGCCAAAAGUUAUGCAUUUCAUUUUGUGCCAGAAUAAAUGAGACAAGCUUCUUGGGAGGUAGAGUUCAUAGGACGUAAUGAGUGGGUGAGCAAGGAAUGUUCUUGCCUUGUUCAACCAUGGUUGAUCACUGCAUGCCGUCAUAUUGAAGGUCAGGGUUUCUUGUAAAUGUUGUACUAAGAAAUUAUUUUUGUACAUUUUGAUAAUUAACAGCAACAUAUACUGUAAUGUAAAUAACUUAAGGCCAGUAUAGCUUUGUUAAUCCUUAACUGUGGUGCACCUACCUCUUCGAGUAGUUCACAAAUUCGAUCACUCCGUGUAAACAGUCACUUGCUCUGCCAGGGCAUGGAGAAUGCUAUUCAGUUGACCAAUUUUCUCAGAAAUACGUACCACACAACUUUUUAUUUAUUUAUAUUAUUUAUAGGGAACUGGGCAACAAUAAGGAUUGUAUUAAAGAAAUUUGACGCACAAAAUUUAUAUUGCACAGAAAGGAGUAUGUUGCAUUAGCAACAAUGUGUAUUUGGCAAAAUUGCUAGAACAGCUUUAUUUGUAUGUAAUCAUCAGAAAAAUACAUUAUAUUGUCACAUGAACAACCAGUUGAUCUUGCUUUUUGGGCAAAGCUAUCCUCCAUGCUUCAAGCAGUUACUUGUAGAAUUCCAGAAAAUGUUCAUCGCUGCUACUUAUGAAGCACCUGGUUGUGCAUUCAGAAAAGUAUGCUGGUUUGUGGGAUAAUGUUCUGUGUUUAUUGCAAAGGCAGCUUCCACAUUACUGAUGUUAACUCAUUCCUUGCAUCCAGGAAACUUUCACCACUGCCACUCAAUGCCCACGCUGGGUCAAGCGACAAGAUUAUCAAAUUCCAUCCAGGAGCUGAUGAACGCUCUGGAGAUGCGCAAGUAUGAAGCCAUCCAGCUGACGUUCAAGCAAGUGUCCAAGUUCUUCAGUGAA